UACGGAGGAUCCGAGCGUUAUCCGGAUUUAUUGGGUUUAAAGGGUGCGCAGGCGGGAUGUUAAGUCGGCGGUGAAAUUUUGCAGCUCAACUGUAAAAGUGCCUUCGAUACUGGCUUUCUUGAGUGUGGAUGAAGUAGGCGGAAUUUGUGGUGUAGCGGUGAAAUGCUUAGAUAUCACGAGGAACUCCGAUUGCGCAGGCAGCUUACUAAACCACUACUGACGCUCAUGCACGAAGGCGUGGGGAUCAAACAGGAUUAGAUACCCG
rnacentral:rRNA from 1 species